rnacentral:rRNA from 1 species
AUUGAACGCUGGCGGCAGGCUUAACACAUGCAAGUCGAACGAGUGGCGGACGGGUGAGUAAUGCUUGGGAAUCUAGCUUAUGGAGGGGGAUAACUACGGGAAACUGUAGCUAAUACCGCGUACCAUAGGAUGGGCCCAAGUGGGAUUAGGUAGUUGGUGGGGAAAAGGCUCACCAAGCCGACGAUCUCUAGCUGGUCUGAGAGGAUGACCAGCCAAACGGGGACGGGACCAGGGCCAGGACUCCGACGGGAGGCAGCGUUGGGGAUUUUUGCGCAAGGGGGGAAACCCUGACGCAGCCAUGCGGGGUGUAUGAAGAAGGCCUUCGGGUUGUAAAGUACUUUCAGUCGGGAGACGUUACCGACAGAAGAAGCACCGGCUAACUCCGUGCCAGCAGCCGCGGUAAUA